rnacentral:tRNA from 1 species
AGGGGUAUAGUUCAAUGGAUAGAACAUUGAUCUUCUAAAUCAAGAAUGCGAGUUCGAAUCUUGCUAUCCCUA